UAUGUUAUAGUUUAUGAUGAACAUUAGAUUUUGAAUCUAAAAGACAGUUUAAUCCUGUUAACAUAA
rnacentral:tRNA from 1 species